AGAGUUUGAUCAUGGCUCAGAACAAACCGCUGGCGGCGUGUCUUAAGCAUGCAAGUUGAGCGGCAAGGGGGAGCGAUCCCCCCUAGAGCGGCGGACUGGUGAGUAACACGUGGAUGAUCUACCCGAGGCAUGGGGAUAGUCACUAGAAAUAGUGGGUAAUACCGAAUACGGUGCGCAUCGUGAGGGUGCGCAAGAAAGGUGCUACGGCACCGGCCUAGGAUGAGUCUGCGUCCCAUUAGCUGGUUGGUGAGGUAAGAGCCCACCAAGGCGAUGAUGGGUAGCCGGCCUGAGAGGGUGUACGGCCACACUGGGACUGAGAUACGGCCCAGACUCCUACGGGAGGCAGCAGCUAAGAAUAUUCCGCAAUGGACGAAAGUCUGACGGAGCGACGCCGCGUGGAUGAAGAAGGCCGAAAGGUCGUAAAGUUCUUUUGUUGGGGAAGAAUAACCAUGGGAGGGAAUGCCCGUGGGAUGACAUGAACCGACGAAUAAGCCCCGGCUAACUACGUGCCAGCAGCCGCGGUAACACGUAGGGGGCGAGCGUUGUUCGGAAUUACUGGGCGUAAAGGGCAUGUAGGCGGUCUUGUAAGCUUGGCGUGAAAGACCACGGCUCAACCGUGGGAUUGCGUUGAGAACUGCGAGGCUUGAGUGACGGAGAGGGAGCUAGAAUUCCUGGUGUAGGGGUGGAAUCUGUAGAGAUCAGGAAGAAUACCAAUGGCGAAGGCAAGCUCCUGGCCGAUGACUGACGCUGAGGUGCGAAAGUGUGGGGAUCAAACAGGAUUAGAUACCCUGGUAGUCCACACUGUAAACGAUGUGCACUAGGUGCUGGUACGGAUGUAUCAGUGCCGUAGCUAACGUGAUAAGUGCACCGCCUGGGGAGUAUGCUCGCAAGGGUGAAACUCAAAUGAAUUGACGG
rnacentral:rRNA from 1 species